UACGUAGGGUGCGAGCGUUGUCCGGAAUUACUGGGCGUAAAGAGCUUGUAGGCGGUCCGUCGCGUCGAUUGUGAAACUUGCAGCUCAACUGCAAGCUUGCAGUCGAUACGGGCGGACUAGAGUACUUCAGGGGAGACUGGAAUUCCUGGUGUAGCGGUGAAAUGCGCAGAUAUCAGGAGGAACACCGGUGGCGAAGGCGGGUCUCUGGGAAGUAACUGACGCUGAGAAGCGAAAGCGUGGGUAGCGAACAGG
rnacentral:rRNA from 1 species